rnacentral:rRNA from 1 species
AAUACCGGAUAAUAUUUUGAACCGCAUGGUUCAAAAGUGAAAGACGGUCUUGCUGUCACUUAUAGAUGGAUCCGCGCUGCAUUAGCUAGUUGGUAAGGUAACGGCUUACCAAGGCAACGAUGCAUAGCCGACCUGAGAGGGUGAUCGGCCACACUGGAACUGAGACACGGUCCAGACUCCUACGGGAGGCAGCAGUAGGGAAUCUUCCGCAAUGGGCGAAAGCCUGACGGAGCAACGCCGCGUGAGUGAUGAAGGUCUUCGGAUCGUAAAACUCUGUUAUUAGGGAAGAACAUAUGUGUAAGUAACUGUGCACAUCUUGACGGUACCUAAUCAGAAAGCCACGGCUAACUACGUGCCAGCAGCCGCGGUAAUACGUAGGUGGCAAGCGUUAUCCGGAAUUAUUGGGCGUAAAGCGCGCGUAGGCGGUUUUUUAAGUCUGAUGUGAAAGCCCACGGCUCAACCGUGGAGGGUCAUUGGAAACUGGAAAACUUGAGUGCAGAAGAGGAAAGUGGAAUUCCAUGUGUAGCGGUGAAAUGCGCAGAGAUAUGGAGGAACACCAGUGGCGAAGGCGACUUUCUGGUCUGUAACUGACGCUGAUGUGCGAAAGCGUGGGGAUCAAACAGGAUUAGAUACCCUGGUAGUCCACGCCGUAAACGAUGAGUGCUAAGUGUUAGGGGGUUUCCGCCCCUUAGUGCUGCAGCUAACGCAUUAAGCACUCCGCCUGGGGAGUACGACCGCAAGGUUGAAACUCAAAGGAAUUGACGGG